GGAUAGCUCAGUCGGAAAGCAUGAGACUCUUAAGCUCAGGAUCAUGGGUUCAAGUCCAUGUUGGGCA
rnacentral:tRNA from 1 species